rnacentral:rRNA from 1 species
AUUGAACGCUGGCGGCAUGCUUUACACAUGCAAGUCGAACGGUAACAGGUUAGGCUGACGAGUGGCGAACGGGUGAGUAAUGCAUCGGAACGUGCCCGGUCGUGGGGGAUAACACUUCGAAAGAAGUGCUAAUACCGCAUACGCUCUGAGGAUGAAAGCGGGGGACCGAAAGGCCCCGCGCGAUCGGAGCGGCCGAUGUCAGAUUAGGUAGUUGGUGGGAUAAAGGCCUACCAAGCCGACGAUCUGUAGCUGGUCUGAGAGGACGACCAGCCACACUGGGACUGAGACACGGCCCAGACUCCUACGGGAGGCAGCAGUGGGGAAUUUUGGACAAUGGGCGCAAGCCUGAUCCAGCAAUGCCGCGUGCAGGAAGAAGGCCUUCGGGUUGUAAACUGCUUUUGUACGGAGCGAAAAGGCUCUCUCUAAUACAGGGGGCUGAUGACGGUACCGUAAGAAUAAGCACCGGCUAACUACGUGCCAGCCGCCGCAGUAAAAC